AUGUCUACAUUUAUCUUCCAAACACUCGGCAAAUGGAGAAAACUGCCACGUAAACCGCAAGCGACUGGAGGACUUAUUUUCCUGGCUAGGGUGGAAAGUGGGACAGAGGGUGAGCAAGAAUGCGGAGCUCAAACAACACAGCCGCUCAACGUUCUUCCCAUUCCGUUCCAGACUCGGUUAUCUUCCUCAGUGCCCCCUUUCCCCCAGUGAAAAGAGGUCGUGGUCCCUUUAAGGUCCGCCCCUCCCUCCCCCAAAACUUCCCAGUGUCUGCUCUUUUCGAUCCCGGACGGCCGGCCAAGCUCGCCGCCGAGCUGGAGGUGGGGCCUGGCGGAAUGACUGGCAAGAAGCGUUCACCUAUAAGGAGUGCGAUUGGCGAACAGAGGCGGUCUUUCCAAUAGAACGGCAUGCGUCCUAUCCAAUAGAAAUGAACCGUGAGGAAACUUCCCCUCCCCCCAAGAUAGGGCCAGUGGCUCCCCCUAUCGGGUGGGGGCGGCGAGUGACGGGCGUGUCCCUCCCCCAAUGAGAGGCGGGGGGAGGCGGGUUCUGCGCCGCCAUGUCGCGGAGGCUGCUGCCCCGGGCGGAGAAGCGGCGUCGGCGGCUCGAGCAGAGGCAGCAGCCGGACGAGCAGCUGAGGCGGGCGGGAGCGAUGGUGAAGAUGGCGGCUGCGGGCGGCGGAGGUGGCGGUGGUCGCUAUUACGGCGGCGGCAACGAGGGAGGCCGAGCCCCUAAACGGCUGAAGACUGAAAACGCCGGCGACCAGCACGGAGGCGGCGGCGGCGGAGGCUCCGGGGCGGCGGGCGGCGGCGGCGGGGAGAACUACGAUGACCCCCACAAAACCCCUGCCUCCCCAGUUGUUCACAUCAGGGGCCUGAUUGACGGAGUAGUGGAAGCUGACCUUGUGGAAGCCCUGCAAGAAUUUGGACCCAUCAGCUAUGUGGUGGUGAUGCCAAAGAAGAGGCAGGCACUGGUAGAGUUUGAAGACGUGCUGGGGGCUUGUAAUGCCGUAAACUACGCUGCAGACAACCAGAUCUACAUUGCCGGUCACCCUGCAUUUGUCAAUUAUUCUACCAGCCAGAAGAUCUCUCGCCCGGGCGACUCUGAUGACUCCCGGAGCGUAAACAGCGUGCUUCUGUUUACCAUCCUAAACCCCAUCUACUCCAUAACCACGGAUGUUCUUUACACCAUCUGUAACCCUUGUGGCCCUGUCCAGAGAAUUGUCAUUUUCCGGAAGAACGGAGUUCAGGCUAUGGUGGAGUUUGAUUCUGUGCAAAGUGCCCAGCGCGCCAAGGCCUCACUCAAUGGGGCUGACAUCUAUUCCGGCUGUUGUACUCUGAAAAUUGAGUACGCAAAGCCUACGCGUUUAAAUGUAUUCAAGAACGAUCAAGAUACUUGGGACUACACGAACCCCAACCUCAGUGGACAAGGGUCGCAGUGUAUGUUUGAUGGGACGCCAUCUUUCAGAACUGUGCUAACUCACUGUUGAAGCGUCCAAUGGUAAGAGAAAAAUACAGAUUUGUUUUUUUGUGACAAAUGGACAUUGUACUCUGUACUUCUGCUGUAAGUAGCCCUUUUCCAUCUUUGUAAUGACUUGAAAAACUCAAGCAGGGUGGCAGGAAAGGGCAGUGGUUUCAAGCUCUGGGUCUUGGUGCCACCCAGACCUGGGCUGAGGUUCUGGCUCAGCCACUGAUUUGCAAGUGUCCUAACUGCUCAGAGAAAGAGUAACUGCUCUAAUUUCUUAUCUGUAAAGUGGGGCUAAGAAAUGAGUACCUACCUCAUAGGGUUGUUGUGAGGAACCAAGCUGUGACGUCUGUAAAGUGCUUAUCAGUGUCUGCACUUAAGCGCUAAACUAAUGGUUAAUUACGAACUGCAGCUAGGGUGGGAGGGGGCUCUGCGCCAUUGUUGGGUCUGAGAUUGUUGGUGCCUUGUUACCUACCUAACUGCUCUUUGAAACUGAUUGUGCUCUCGCCCUGCUUGUCAGCUCCUACAGUCCCUCUCCGGCUGGAUGGGAUGUGGAGGGUGGCUGGGCCCAGGGUUGAUAGAGAGAGACCUGGAGUGGAGCCUUGAGCUCCCAGGACAUAGAGGCAUUGUGGGCUGUUCACCAUAUUUCUGUCCAUCUUGGAUUACUUAAUUUGGUUAUUGCCCUUAAUCUUUCUCCCUUCAUUGGGAAUUACGUCAUAAAACUGCUCUUCCCCUUCAUACAUAAUACACCCAUGCUAUAGUUCCCUAAGCGGCCUAGGAGCUAGGCUGGUCCUGCCUGUUCCCUACUAUAAGGCAUAACACGGCAGUACAAGGGAUCCCAAAAUCCUUAGCUGAGGAGGAGAGAGGCUGGUCUGUGCAGACAGGAGGGAGAGUGGAUUCCAGCUGUGAGACCUGGGCUUCAUGCCCCCAUCCUUGCAUCUUAGGAAGGAGGCGGAGGCCCCAGCAGCCCUUGUAAGGAAAGAGUUUGUAGCCAUGCUCACAGAGCUCUGCGGUCUUGAGACUGGCCUCUGUAGUCAGGAGUCCGGGGAUUCUUUCUUGUGUUCUAUUCCUAACUCUGUUUUCAAUCUACAGGUGACCCUGGCAGUAACCCCAACAAACGCCAGCGGCAGCCCCCUCUCCUGGGAGAUCAUCCCGCAGAAUAUGGAGGGCCCCAUGGUGGGUACCACAGCCAUUACCAUGAUGAGGGCUACGGGCCCCCCCCACCUCACUACGAAGGGAGAAGGAUGGGCCCACCUGUGGGGGGUCACCGCCGGGGCCCAAGUCGCUAUGGCCCCCAGUAUGGUCAUCCCCCACCCCCUCCCCCACCACCCGACUAUGGCCCCCACGCUGACAGCCCUGUGCUCAUGGUCUAUGGCUUGGAUCAAUCUAAGAUGAACUGUGAUCGAGUCUUCAAUGUCUUCUGCUUGUAUGGCAAUGUGGAGAAGGUGAAAUUUAUGAAAAGCAAGCCGGGGGCCGCCAUGGUGGAAAUGGCUGAUGGCUAUGCUGUGGACCGAGCCAUUACUCACCUCAACAACAACUUCAUGUUUGGGCAGAAGAUGAAUGUCUGUGUCUCCAAGCAACCAGCCAUUAUGCCUGGUCAGUCAUACGGGCUAGAAGAUGGAUCCUGCAGCUAUAAAGACUUCAGCGAGUCAAGGAACAAUCGGUUCUCCACUCCAGAGCAGGCAGCUAAGAACCGCAUCCAGCACCCUAGCAAUGUACUGCACUUCUUCAAUGCUCCCCUCGAGGUGACUGAGGAGAACUUCUUUGAGAUCUGCGAUGAACUGGGAGUGAAGCGGCCAACCUCUGUCAAAGUAUUUUCAGGCAAAAGCGAGCGGAGCUCCUCUGGGCUGCUGGAGUGGGACUCGAAGAGCGAUGCCCUGGAGACCUUGGGCUUCCUGAACCAUUACCAGAUGAAAAACCCAAAUGGCCCGUACCCAUACACUCUGAAGUUGUGCUUCUCCACUGCACAGCACGCCUCCUAAUUGGAUGCUGGGAAGGAAGACUCCAUCCGAGCAGGAAAAUGUUCCUUUCCUUUAUGCUGUUGGUUUGUUUGGUUUUUUUUUUUUUUUUCUUGUUUUUUUUUUUCUUUUUGGUUUUGUUUUGAUUUAUUUUUGCAGUUUUUUCCUUUUAAAUGCUAGGUCAGUAGAGGCUUAACCACAACAGAAAUGCUGGAACUCUGGAGGGGGGGAGGGGAACUGGUAUCUCCCAAGAUUAACCUUCACUUUUUAAAAUGACUGUAUGUGUGAUUUUUUUUUUUUCCUGUUCAUACAUUUGUGCUGCCCAUGUAUCUUGGCACAUUUCAAUAAAAUUGUUUGGAAAAUAAAACUAUUUGCUGGGGCUCCAA